UACAGAGGGUGCGAGCGUUAAUCGGAAUUACUGGGCGUAAAGCGCACGUAGGUGGCGACGUAAGUCGGGUGUGAAAGCCCCGGGCUCAACCUGGGAAUUGCAUUCGAGACUGCAUUGCUGGAGUACGGAAGAGGAGGGCGGAAUUCCCGGUGUAGCGGUGAAAUGCGUAGAUAUCGGGAGGAACAUCAGUGGCGGAGGCGGCCCUCUGGACCAUUACUGACGCUCAGGUGCGAAAGCGUGGGGAGCAAACAGG
rnacentral:rRNA from 1 species